rnacentral:lncRNA from 1 species
CUGAAAACACUUCAACUCUUUUUUUACAUGUACUUUUCUCGCAGAGUCCCUUAACCAGAUCCUUUCGUAGCCAAGCUAACCAUAAACAAAUAUUUAGCAUCAUAAAGGAGAUGAUAUUCAUGGAAAGAUGAAAACCGUGGGUUUUUUAUGCAUCCGUUGUCGAUGAUGGAAUUUUUUCCUCUCAAUUCUAGAAGGUUUAAGGUUAUGUCGUACAGUUAAUAUGGUUUUAGUUUAGUAUCUUGAGCAAUUGUUUCAGAACUUCUUUCACUGUAAUUCUGCCUGUUUGUCCACCUAUUCCUGGGGUCCCCAAUAUGGCACCUGGACAUACCAUGAUGCCCUCAGAAACUCCCUUAGGUGCCUGCCAGUGACUUUUGACCCUCCCAAUUUUAUUUUUGUCUUUAAAAAAAAAGAGAUUGUGGUUUUUGCCUGUUUGAUGGGACAUUUCCUGGUUUUUUGGGGGUGGUCUCUGGGUUUUUGGUUUUGUUUUAGGGGCUAUUUGCCUGUUUAUUUUGGGGUGGGGUGGGGAGAUUCUGAUCAUUACCAGUUUUUCUUCUUUGAAAUUGUGUUUUGUGGUGUUCCCAACAAUUUCUUAAAUUUCCAAAUACGCUCCUGAGCCCCAAAAGUUGGACUUCCAAUCUCAUCUCCUUAUCUUAAACCACCAGGCUCAAUUUGACAACACUGCUGGCAUCCAAAAUCCAGAGCAAAAAUUCUUAAAAUGUUUCUGCACUCAGAGGUACAAUUUGUAUAAAAAUGCCAUCAUAAAAGCAUAAACAUAUUUUAAAACUAAAGAAAUGAGGGUUGUUGUACAGCCUGAAUUCCCCAGACAUGUCCAGGAUUUAAUUGGCAAAAAUAGCGUCCUGCAAAAUGUUCAGGAUUUUGAGGUUGACAACAGCUUUGUUUUUCCGGAAUUUUACUUCUAGAAAUAUGGCAGCCCUAAUAAAAUAUUAACCAUUGGAUGUUGGAUAAAGAAAGUCUGGCAAGUGGCUAACUGAUCAGGUUAAGGGUUGGGAAACAAUUAAGAUCCAUAUCUGAGGAAGCAUAGCUGCUUUCCGUUCUUUAGUUUUGGGGGAAUUAGAUAUAAGAUUAAGAUCAACUGCUUCUCUGUUAUAGGAUAUAGGUGUUGGCCUGGAAGGAUAUUACUAAUGUUUAUUACAUUUUUGCAUGUUUAUUUGAAUUCAUCUGGACUUUAUAUAAAACAUGAAUAUGUUUAGGUUAUUUUUAUAUUUUCAUACAAUGAAUCACACAUUUAUAUAUUGAUCAAAUUUAUUUUUUUAAAAAACCAGCAGAAGUAUUAACACCAUCGAAAUAAUUUUUAACAUGACAUCCUCUUCUUGUGUUUGAUAAACCACCACCAUUUAUGGUUUUGAAUGGGUGAGGCAUCUGCUGUUCCCAGUGCCUUUUUGUCCAACUCAUCUUUUUCUCUUGGCUUUUUAAGAGAGCCUGUGAUUGUUCAUUAAUGAGAUACUUUAGUCCAUUCAAGCAGACGAGCUCCCAGGCCUCUCCUUGCCUCUGACAUUAGUCAUCCAUUCAACAAUCCUUUCUUUCCCAGUCAAAUAGCACUGAUUGUAAGUGCAGAAUCUUUUUAAAAGGGAAAGGUGAGCUUCCUUCACUUCACUGAGGUUUAUCCUUCGAGAGAUUGCAGAAAACUCUUUGCCACUUCUAAAUGCCAAAAAAAGGCUAUUGUGUGCCAGACUCGCACACAAUUCAUUUCAGUCCAUUCAGAAUUCCUUGAGAGCAUAAAUUUGCUAAAGUUGCUCAUUGAUAACUUUCUUCAGACUCUUUUUUCCCCACCUAUCCAUUCAUCCUUUGUUCCGCUGCUUUUCCUACCCAGCUGAAAAUGACCAGAUCAUUACUCAUUCUUCUCUUUCUCGUUGGCAUGUGAUUCUGUCUCAGGGAGGAAAAUAUCUUAUUUUAUUGCUUUGGAGUAGGAUCUGCAGUAUCCCACCCACAAAUGGAGGCUCUGCUUUUCUUCCCAGAUUCAUAAACCUGAAGUGUGAGGUUUCAAGCGGAGCACAAAUUGAGAAGAACAGGUUGAUCCAUGCAAGUGAUGAGCUUUGGAAAGAGGCAGCUGAUGAAGGUGAGAUCCAGCAGGGUAGCAAGUGGGGAAGAAGGAAAACCCACACAAUACCAAUAUUCUGGUACCAUACAAGCGCAGAUCCAGCUAUUUGCACUCGGUCGUAACAGCUUUUAGGAGCGACAACAAGAGCACAUAUUGGAAAUCAUCAUCACCUGGGCUGAGUCAAACCAUUUGCCCAUCUCUGUCAGUAUUGUCUACACACCAGGCAUGGCCAAACUUAGCCCUCCAGCUGUUUUGGGACUACAACUCCCAUCAUCCUUAGCUAACAGGACCAGUAGUCAGGGAUGAUGGGAAUUGUAGUCCCAAAACAGCUGGAGGGCCAUGUCUGGUCUACACUGUCUGAUAGUGAAAAGGGAAAACUUUAAAGUUAUAUGAUAUUAAGAUCAAGGAUUAGGUUUAAAAAAAAAGUUGAAGUUAUAUAUUUUAACAUUUUAUUAAAUUAAAGAUUGGGAUUAAAAAAGUGGAAAAGAAACUGCUGGACAAAUAAAUGUGGACUGGAAUACAAAAGAGGGAGGUAUGAGGAAGUCUAGAAAAUAAGUAAUUUAAAAUUGGAAGUGGAAAAGAGAGUUUGUUUUUAAUUGUUGUGCUUUGUGUUUUUAUUGUUAAGUUUUGUAUUGUUUUUUGUAUGUGUUGUUUUUCUUGUUUUGUUGUUUAAAACUUUAAUAAAAAAAAACUUUAAUAAAAAAAAUUAUUAAAAAAAAAAUACACUGUCUGAUAGUGGCUCUCCAGGAUUCCAGGCAGGAUUUUUCUUCCAGCCCUACCUGAAGAUACCACGAAUUGAAUCUGGGUCCUUCUUCACACAAUGUAGAUGGUCUACCAUUGAGCCACAGCCCUUCCCCAGUUGCUCUUCUCUGAGCUUUGCCAGUUUGUCUUCUGUGAAAUGGGCACUUUAUUGUGUUGUGUGGAGGUCAAACAUGUGGUUACACAUUUGGGGCUCAGACCCAGGCUUUGCCUUGGACUCAGCUUCUUGUGCUUUGUGACUUGCCGUAAUCCUCUUGGCAGCCAUUUUGUGACUAACCACACUCUUCACAGCGGCCAUUUUGUGAUGGUGCCCUUGAUACUUCCGUAGAUUUCAAAAUGUGCUGGUGACCCCAUUUUGAACAUUCUCCCCUAGUGGUUUCAUGUAGAUGGUGAUGUUUUCCUUGCCUCAGUUCUCCAGUGUUGAGAAUUCCAGUGUGUAUUGUGUUUUUCCCACCCCUGUUGUCACUAGAGCCUCGUUUACACAAUGUUAAGGGUGUGUGUAACAUUUCAAAGGAAGGGAACAAAAAGGGAACUUAACUUGGAAUUUUAAACUAAACCUGGCCCUUGCAAUUGCCAGACCAGGGCAAAUGUGGAGCAGCUUUAAGGAUUCCCUCCACAAAGACAAUAAGUCUAGGAGAUAAUGUAGGGGGUACUUAGAUUGGUAGGGUUACAAUAAGUUGCAUUGCCCCUGAAAACUGAUUGAUAAACCUACAAUGUGCUGUAUUAUCUAUAGCCGUUCAUUUCAACAAGCACCUGCUGAGAUCCUUCUCUCUGUAUUCUUCUGCAUAUAGGUUAUCCCUCCGGUUUUCCUUUGAAGAUUGUAAUGCAGCAUUUUUAAUUAAAGAAAACUGUCCUUGAUUGAUCAAACAA